rnacentral:ncRNA from 2 species
CCGCAUGUCCCACCCGUUGGUGUCUGCAGCAGCAGAUGAAAAGGGAAUGCGUCAACGGGUUUUCCGCCAAACGCAGCCGCCCCCGCGACCGUGACCGGAGAGGGUGCCCAAUGCCACUGGCGAAUGCCGGGAAGGCGGGACAUCCGACAGAGGUUUCCUCUGACAUCCGCAAGCCGGGAGACCUGCCAACGCCCGAAGAUGAAA